UUUUUCAAGGAAUAUUUCAUAACAAGGUAGGUAACAUGUUUAUCUAACAGGAAUUUUAUGUCACUGCCACUAAAUCAAAAUAUCCUGUUCACUGGGUAAAAGACCUGCUUUAUGUGUGUACACUUCAGUACAAUUAAAAGAAUACUGUAAUUAUAAUUCAGAACUUCUGAAUUUCAACUGAUGCCAGUGUUCUCUCCUUUUUUCAUAUGGGAAAAUUCCUCUGAAAAUUAUUUGAAGCUUGGACAAAAAUUCCACAGCUGUAUUCCUCCGGAUCACUUUGCAGAGUCUUCAAGAUUCAGAUAGAGGGGAAGCUUCAAUUCAACCUUUCAGAGAAAACAUUCCAGCUUGCAUGAUCUCAUCAACCAAGAGAAUGUUGGUGGCAAUCACAGUGCAGGAGUGAAGAAGCUGUUUCUUUACACAAUAGUUAUCCCAUAUGCCUACUUCUGCUGCUACCAUUGGCUCACCUGUAUCCAGGUCCACACCCACAAGCUGACCUGAUUCUGAACAUUCUGCUUGAAUUUUAACUAAUGUUUCCUGAAGGUCAAAACCAGAGUUCUGAUCAAGAACCUUUGGAAUAAUGAGCAACACAUCAGCAAAUGCUUGGACUCCAAGCUGUGCCCUGCCCUUUACACUGGGCUUAUAUUUAAUCAGGGCUUCUGCCAUUGCUACUUCCACAGCACCAGCACCUGGAAACACACAGCCCUCAUCAAUAGGAUUUUUGACAGCCCUCAAGCCAUCCCUUACUGCAUCUUUGGAGCUGAGUGAGUGUGUACUUAUUUGGUCCUUUGUUUAAUAAUGUGACAGAGCGAGUAUUGUUACAUUUCUCAAUAAAGGUGAACUUCUCUUCUCCCAAUAUAUAUUUAUAUACAAGUCCUGCAUGUCCCAAGCAGUCAGGAUUUAGGUUUUCAAAAGAAUUCAGGGCUACCUCACCAGAAGCAAGAGUCAGCCCCUCGAUAUUUCUCCUUUUAGCUCUGUGAAGAGUGACUAUGUGUUCUUUUGCAAGAGCAUCUAAGGAAAGGGGGUCAAUUCCCUCUUGAUUAAUAGCAACAAAUCCUUUAUCUGAAUCACCACAGACUUUCCUUUUCAGUUCUAUUUUUUAACUCUUAUCUUCAAUGAAUUUUCUUUCAGCUUUUAUGAGUUUUUCUCUCAUUUCUGCAGUCUUGUAAAAAAAGCCAGAAUUCACUUAUCUUGUAUCAGUUUCAGAUUUAUGUUUCAUCUCCAUGAUCACAACCAUGAAGAGAUCAAUAGGUUCAUCUUGUCUUUUAAUGGCCAAAAUGGAGUCCACUACAGCCUCUGUUAAGGCAUCUGCAAGUUCAGCAUGAACUUUAGUAUGAAGAGAUGUUCUGGCCACAUUUAUAAGUGUUUCCCUGUCCAUCUCUUUCCUUAUUUUGACUUCUUCCAAAAACCGAAGGGCCUUUUCCUUUGCAGCUUCAAAUCCUUCAGUAAUUAUUCUGAGAUGAAGGCCUUCAGAAAUGUAGAGAUCCUCCUGUUUCAGUAGCUUUUCAAUGAUUAGGACAUUGGAAGUUGUACUAUCACCAGUUAUAUCAUCCUGGGCUGUUGCUACCUUUGCUAUUAAGGAAGCUGUUGUGUGUUGAAUUU
rnacentral:lncRNA from 10 species